GACGAACGCUGGCGGCGUGCUUAACACAUGCAAGUCCAACGGAAAGGCCCUGCUUUUGUGGGGUGCUCGAGUGGCGAACGGGUGAGUAACACGUGAGUAACCUGCCCUUGACUUUGGGAUAACUUCAGGAAACUGGGGCUAAUACCGGAUAGGAGCUCCUGCUGCAUGGUGGGGGUUGGAAAGUUUCGGCGGUUGGGGAUGGACUCGCGGCUUAUCAGCUUGUUGGUGGGGUAGUGGCUUACCAAGGCUUUGACGGGUAGCCGGCCUGAGAGGGUGACCGGCCACAUUGGGACUGAGAUACGGCCCAGACUCCUACGGGAGGCAGCGGUGGGGAAUAUUGCACAAGGGGCGGAAGCAUGAUGCAGCAACGCCGCGUGCGGGAUGACGGCCUUCGGGUUGUAAACCGCUUUCGCCUUUGACGAAGCGUGAGUGACGGUAAUGGGUAAAGAAGCACCGGCUAACUACGUG
rnacentral:rRNA from 1 species